CGUACUUGUCGUAUAUUUAUUUUCUUUUUCUUUGCCGCAAGUCUGCUAGUGUAAACCAGCUUGUGAGCUUUUGGCGUGGUUGAUUUGGCUAGCAGUGAGUCAGGAUCUAUAGCCGAAACACCCCUUUCAGUGUCGAGCUUCCGAGCUCCUGGGUGUUGUCUGGCACUCCACGCGCCCAUCGGGCACAUUUGUGUGAUUAUAUUAAGUGUGGAACCAGCUAGUGGUGGCUCUAGUGGUGCAUCCGUGUGCCGAGCCCUAGCUGUUGGAGAACUAUCGAUCUUUGCCGUACUCAGCCACCAAGCGCUCCGGCGUUGGUGUGUGUCCCAGGACUAUCGUACGUGCACACAGGCUCCGGCCAUACAGACUCAUCAGUGAGAUAGUGUCCCCGGACAUCAC
rnacentral:lncRNA from 1 species